UUCUAGCGAGCCCAACCUCCCACCCGUGUUUACUGUACCUUAGUUGCUUCGGCGGGCCCGCCAUUCAUGGCCGCCGGGGGCUCUCAGCCCCGGGCCCGCGCCCGCCGGAGACACCACGAACUCUGUCUGAUCUAGUGAAGUCUGAGUUGAUUGUAUCGCAAUCAGUUAAAACUUUCAACAAUGGAUCUCUUGGUUCCGGCAUCGAUGAAGAACGCAGCGAAAUGCGAUAACUAGUGUGAAUUGCAGAAUUCCGUGAAUCAUCGAGUCUUUGAACGCACAUUGCGCCCCCUGGUAUUCCGGGGGGCAUGCCUGUCCGAGCGUCAUUGCUGCCCAUCAAGCACGGCUUGUGUGUUGGGUCGUCGUCCCCUCUCCGGGGGGGACGGGCCCCAAAGGCAGCGGCGGCACCGCGUCCGAUCCUCGAGCGUAUGGGGCUUUGUCACCCGCUCUGUAGGCCCGGCCGGCGCUUGCCGAACGCAAAUCAAUCUUUUUCCAGGUUGACCUCGGAUCAGGUAGGGAUACCCGCUGAACUUAAGCAUAUCAAUAA
rnacentral:rRNA from 1 species